rnacentral:rRNA from 1 species
GAGUUGUAAUUUAGAGAAGUGUUACCCGCUCUCGGACCGUGUAUAAGUCUCCUGGAAUGGAGCGUCAUAGAGGGUGAGAAUCCCGUCUUUGACACGGACUACCAGGGCAUUGUGGUGCGCUCUCGAAGAGUCGCGUUGUUUGGGAAUGCAGCGCUAAAUGGGUGGUAAAUUCCAUCUAAAGCUAAAUAUUGGCGAGAGACCGAUAGCGAACAAGUACCGURAGGGAAAGAUGAAAAGAACUUUGGAAAGAGAGUUAAACAGUACGUGAAAUUGCUGAAAGGGAAACGCUUGAAGUCAGUCGCGUUGACCGGGGAUCAGCCUUGCUUUUGUGAGGUGUACUUCCUGGUUGACGGGUCAGCAUCAGUUUCGAUCACUGGAGAAAGGCUUGGGGAAUGUGGCACCUUCGGGUGUGUUAUAGCCUCUUGUCGUAUACAGUGGUUGGGACUGAGGUACUCAGCACGCCGCAAGGCCGGGUUUCGACCACGUUCGUGCUUAGGAUGCUGGCAAAAUGGCUUUAAUCGACCCGUCUUGAAACACGGACCAAGGAGUCUAACAUGCUUGCGAGUGUUUGGGUGGAAAACCCGAGCGCGUAAUGAAAGUGAAAGUUGGGAUCUCUGUCGUGGAGAGCACCGACGCCCGGACCAGAUGUUUACUGACG